AGAGAUCAUGGCUCAGAACGAACGCUGGCGGCAGGCUUAACACAUGCAAGUCGAGCGGGCUCUUUCGGGGGUCAGCGGCGGACGGGUUAGUAACGCGUGGAACGUGCCUUUUGCUCUGGAAUAGCCCUGGGAAACUGGGGGUAAUACCGGAUGUGCCCUGAGGGGGAAAGAUUUAUCGGCAAGAGAUCGGCCCGCGUCUGAUUAGGUAGUUGGUGGGGUAACGGCCCACCAAGCCGACGAUCGGUAGCUGGUUUGAGAGGAUGAUCAGCAACACUGGGACUGAGACACGGCCCAGACUCCUACGGGAGGCAGCAGUGGGGAAUCUUAGACAAUGGGCGCAAGCCUGAUCUAGCCAUGCCGCGUGGGUGAUGAAGGCCUUAGGGUCGUAAAGCCCUUUCGCCGGGGAAGAUAAUGACGGUACCCGGUAAAGAAACCCCGGCUAACUCCGUGCCAGCAGCCGCGGUAAUACGGAGGGGGUUAGCGUUGUUCGGAAUGACUGGGCGUAAAGCGCGCGUAGGCGGAUCAGGAAGUUGGGGGUGAAAUCCCGGGGCUCAACCCCGGAAUGGCCUUCAAAACUCCUGGUCUUGAGUUCGAGAGAGGUGAGUGGAAUUCCGAGUGUAGAGGUGAAAUUCUUAGAUAUUCGGAUGAACACCAGUGGCGAACGCGGCUCACUGGCUCUACACUGACGCUGACGUGCGAUUGCGUGUUGAGCAAACA
rnacentral:rRNA from 1 species